UACGUAGGUGACAAGCGUUGUCCGGAUUUACUGGGCGUAAAGGGCGUGCAGGCGGUCUGUUAAGUGCAGGGUGAAAGCUCCCGGCUCAACUGGGAGAGGUCCUUGCAUACUGGCGGACUUGAGGGGGGUAGAGGAAAGUGGAAUUCCCGGUGUAGUGGUGAUAUGCGUAGAUAUCGGGAGGAACACCUGUGGCGAAGGCGGCUUUCUGGGCCCUACCUGACGCUGAGACGCGAAAGCGUGGGGAGCGAACCGGG
rnacentral:rRNA from 1 species